GCCUCUGACUGGAAGAUGCCGAUGGAACUACAGGUUGAUCGGCUGGGGUUGCCGAUGGGACUAUGUCAGCUGAAAGAAAAACAGAAGUAAUUAUGAGGCAGGGAAAAUAGGUUCAUCGGCAAUAAUUUCAUGAAAAAUAUGUUACCUUGAGGGGGAGCAGUGCUUGUCUAGAUGGAGGAAACUACCGAUGCUAUAAUAGAACCUGCUGGAU
rnacentral:lncRNA from 1 species